rnacentral:misc_RNA from 1 species
GGGUCGGACUUAAAUGGCAUAAGCAAGCGACAAGAGCGUGGAAGGUUACGAUGGAUCCAGAGAGAUAAAAGUUUGACGAGUCAGCCCUUGUUCCAGAAAACCAGUUUCUUGCUCAACACCCGGUUGGGCUAGAUUCAUGGUUAAUAUUCCCCAAGCCUUUGAUGCAUAGAUGGAGCACAUAGUGCAAUCGUUAUCAGAAACCGUGGCAUGUUUGAAAGAGAGAAUAGCUGUGCUGAUCAGAAUUUAAGCAAGCAAGCAGAAGUUAAGUGGAAAUGUUGAUUAUUUGGAAAAGAAGAGAAAAUAAUGAGAGUGGAAUUAUUAAUGGUCCUCUACUUCUUCAUCAUGUUUUGAAGUUAACAAAUAUUGUUUUCGAAAUGCCUAUUUUGUCAAGUUGCUAAAAUUCAUAUUAAUUUUGGAAAGUAUUUAGUUUCUAGUCAAAACACCAAAAAUGAGUACUUAAC